rnacentral:rRNA from 1 species
UACAGGGGGUGCAAACGUUGCUCGGAAUCAUUGGGCGUAAAGAGCUCGUAGGCGGUCUGUCGCGUCGGCUGUGAAAACCCGGAGCUCAACUCCGGGCCUGCAGUCGAUACGGGCAAACUGGAGUGUUGCAGGGGAGACUGGAAUUCCUGGUGUAGCGGUGAAAUGCGCAGAUAUCAGGAGGAACACCGGUGGCGAAGGCGGGUCUCUGGGUCGGUACUGACGCUGAGGAGCGAAAGCGUGGGGAGCGAACAGG